rnacentral:tRNA from 2 species
GCAUCGGUAGCUCAGCUGGUAGAGCAGGGGACUCUUAAUCCCUUGGUCGUGGGUUCGAGUCCCACCCGAUGCACCA